UAAGGGCGCACGGUGGAUGCCUUGGCACUAGAAGCCGAUGAAGGACGUUACUAACGACGAUAUGCUUUGGGGAGCUGUAAGUAAGCUUUGAUCCAGAGAUUUCCGAAUGGGGAAACCCAGCAUGAGUUAUGUCAUGUUAUCGAUAUGUGAAUACAUAGCAUAUCAGAAGGCACACCCGGAGAACUGAAACAUCUUAGUACCCGGAGGAAGAGAAAGAAAAUUCGAUUCCCUUAGUAGCGGCGAGCGAAACGGGAAGAGCCCAAACCAACAAGCUUGCUUGUUGGGGUUGUAGGACACUCUAUACGGAGUUACAAAGGACGACAUUAGACGAAUCAUCUGGAAAGAUGAAUCAAAGAAGGUAAUAAUCCUGUAGUCGAAAAUGUUGUCUCUCUUGAGUGGAUCCUGAGUACGACGGAGCACGUGAAAUUCCGUCGGAAUCUGGGAGGACCAUCUCCUAAGGCUAAAUACUCUCUAGUGACCGAUAGUGAACCAGUACCGUGAGGGAAAGGUGAAAAGCACCCCGGAAGGGGAGUGAAAUAGAACCUGAAACCGUGUGCUUACAAGUAGUCAGAGCCCGUUAAUGGGUGAUGGCGUGCCUUUUGUAGAAUGAACCGGCGAGUUACGAUUUGAUGCAAGGUUAAGCAGUAAAUGUGGAGCCGUAGCGAAAGCGAGUCUGAAUAGGGCGUUUAGUAUUUGGUCGUAGACCCGAAACCAGGUGAUCUACCCUUGGUCAGGUUGAAGUUCAGGUAACACUGAAUGGAGGACCGAACCGACUUACGUUGAAAAGUGAGCGGAUGAACUGAGGGUAGCGGAGAAAUUCCAAUCGAACCUGGAGAUAGCUGGUUCUCUCCGAAAUAGCUUUAGGGCUAGCCUCAAGUGAUGAUUAUUGGAGGUAGAGCACUGUUUGGACGAGGGGCCCCUCUCGGGUUACCGAAUUCAGACAAACUCCGAAUGCCAAUUAAUUUAACUUGGGAGUCAGAACAUGGGUGAUAAGGUCCGUGUUCGAAAGGGAAACAGCCCAGACCACCAGCUAAGGUCCCAAAAUAUAUGUUAAGUGGAAAAGGAUGUGGCGUUGCCCAGACAACUAGGAUGUUGGCUUAGAAGCAGCCAUCAUUUAAAGAGUGCGUAAUAGCUCACUAGUCGAGUGACACUGCGCCGAAAAUGUACCGGGGCUAAACAUAUUACCGAAGCUGUGGAUUGUCCUUUGGACAAUGGUAGGAGAGCGUUCUAAGGGCGUUGAAGCAUGAUCGUAAGGACAUGUGGAGCGCUUAGAAGUGAGAAUGCCGGUGUGAGUAGCGAAAGACGGGUGAGAAUCCCGUCCACCGAUUGAC
rnacentral:rRNA from 1 species